UCUCGAUUCGUCUAGUGGUUAGGAUACCUGCUUGUCAUCAUCUCUCUAGGUUAGAGAUUAUAUUGCCUCUAACAGAAACAAGGCCGCAGGUGGCCGGGGUUCAAUUCCCCGAUCGAGAG